CACACAGUAAACGAUGAAUACUCGCUGUUUGCGAUAUACAGUAAGCGGCCAAGCGAAAGCAUUAAGUAUUCCACCUGGGGAGUACGCCGGCAACGGUGAAACUCAAAGGAAUUGACGGGGGCCCGCACAAGCGGUGGAGCAUGUGGUUUAAUUCGAAGCAACGCGAAGAACCUUACCAGGUCUUGACAUCCCGAUGACCGCUCUAGAGAUAGAGUUUUCCCUUCGGGGACAUUGGUGACAGGUGG
rnacentral:rRNA from 1 species